rnacentral:rRNA from 1 species
UACGUAGGGGGCAAGCGUUGUCCGGAAUUACUGGGGGUAAAGGGUUCGUAGGCGGUGUGGCAAGUCGGGAGUGAAAUCUCUGGGCUCAACUCAGAGACUGCUUCCGAAACUGCUGUGCUGGAGUGUGGGAGAGGCGCGUGGAAUUGCAGGUGUAGCGGUGAAAUGCGUAGAUAUCUGCAGGAACACCCGUGGCGAAAGCGGCGCGCUGGACCACUACUGACGCUGAGGAACGAAAGCUAGGGGAGCAAACAGG